rnacentral:lncRNA from 1 species
GAUGCUCUAUAGCUGAGAUACAUGCUCCUCAUCCUGAGAUGCACGCUCCUCAGCCUAAGCUGCCUGCGCCAAGGCCUCGUCAAGCUACUCCUGGCUGACGACCCCAGAAGCAUGUAAGGAGAUGCUUGCCUCAGACCAAUAUCUCAUCGGUACAUGUCUGGGCUUGCAACGAAUCCUCCCAGAGUGCUUAGGUCACAAGACCUAAGAUAGAUGGUCAUAAGAGCCAGAGGUGUCUGGGCCCU